AUAUUGGACAAUGGGCGCAAGCCUGAUCCAGCCAUGCCGCGUGAGUGAUGAAGGCCUUAGGGUUGUAAAGCUCUUUCGCACGCGACGAUGAUGACGGUAGCGUGAGAAGAAGCCCCGGCUAACUUCGUGCCAGCAGCCGCGGUAAUACGAAGGGGGCUAGCGUUGUUCGGAAUUACUGGGCGUAAAGCGCACGCAGGCGGUCCGUUUAGUCGGAAGUGAAAGCCCUGGGCUCAACCCGGGAACUGCUUUCGAUACUGGCGGACUGGAAUCCGGAAGAGGGCAGUGGAAUUCCGAGUGUAGAGGUGAAAUUCGUAGAUAUUCGGAAGAACACCAGUGGCGAAGGCGACUGCCUGGUCCGGGAUUGACGCUCAUGUGCGAAAGCGUGGGGAGCAAACAGG
rnacentral:rRNA from 1 species